rnacentral:snoRNA from 1 species
CCUCAGUGACGAAAACUUUAACAUUAAGUGACGAUAACGUGUGUCUGAGGAGA